rnacentral:rRNA from 1 species
UACGGGGGGGGCAAGCGUUUGUUCGGAAUUACUGGGCGUAAAGGGCUCGUAGGCGGCCAACUAAGUCAGACGUGAAAUCCCUCGGCUUAACCGGGGAACUGCGUCUGAUACUGGAUGGCUUGAGGUUGGGAGAGGGAUGCGGAAUUCCAGGUGUAGCGGUGAAAUGCGUAGAUAUCUGGAGGAACACCGGUGGCGAAGGCGGCAUCCUGGACCAAUUCUGACGCUGAGGAGCGAAAGCCAGGGGAGCAAACGGGG